rnacentral:lncRNA from 1 species
AUGGCGGGGAGUCGUCGCCCGGGGCUGCAGGGAAGGCCUCCCGGAGGAGGCGGCCUGCAGGCCGGGGUCUCGCAGAGCGGGAGGGGCGUUGCAGGGGCUGCAGGGGCUGCAGGGAAGGCUUCCCGGAGGAGGCGGCCUGCAGGCCGGGAUCUCGCAGAGCGGAAGGGGCGUUGCAGGGGCUGCAGGGAAGGCUUCCCGGAGGAGGCGGCCUGCAGGCCGGGGUCUCGCAGAGCGGAAGGGGCGUUGCAGGGGCUGCAGGGAAGGCUUCCCGGAGGAGGCGGCCUGCAGGCCGGGGUCUCGCAGAGCGGAAGGGGCGUUGCAGGGGCUGCAGGGAAGGCUUCCCGGAGGAGGCGGCCUGCAGGCCGGGGUCUCGCAGGGCGGAAGGGGCGUUGCAGGGGCGAGGGGGAAGGGACUUGUAAUUGCAACGGCCCGGGCAGGCCCCCCCGCCCCGCGGAGGCCGGGAGCCGAGGCUCGGCAGGGCGGCGUGGGACGGAGACCGCGUGGGACGCGGCCCGCGGGGCGGCCUGGAGAACACGUCACGGGAAGUUCCGUAGGAACCGGUCACCUGGCCAAGGGGACGACUCGGGAACUGCUAACCUCCGACCGGCCUUGGGGUCGGAGCCGGUGCGCCCCGGCCGCCUGGCCCGCCCUGUGCCGCCCCCUGCCGGCGCUUCGGUGAGCGGCUGGGCGCGCGCUCGGGGCGGGGGCCGGGGAGGGCGGGGCUCCGGAGCCCAGCGCGGCGAUUGGUCGCUCGGCCUCAGGUGUCCCCGCCCCGACCAACCAGAGAGGGGGGCGGGGCCUCGCCGCAGGCUGUGGGCGGGGCGGCAGGGCCGAAGGCUCGGCCCAGGGCGGUGGGCGGAGGGCGGAGGGCGGUGGGCGGUGGGCGGUGGGGAGGGCGAGCCGCGCCCGCUCCGGCCUCGCGAGAUCCCGGGCCCCAGCGCCCCCAGCGCCCCGGAGCCGCGGCUCCCCGCUCCUUCCCCACCCAGCGGCCCUCCGAGCUCUCUGGGGAUAAAGGCCCAAUCCUUGCCAGGCCCCAGGCCCUUCGGAUCUCGGCCCUGCGGUGACGCCUGUGGCCUCGAAUUUCCCGCCAGCUCCCCCGGCCUUUGGCCACCUGCUCCCUCCAGCCCCAGGCCUCUACCCUGGCCUGUGACCUCUGCUCAGCCUGCCCUUCCCGCUGCUCCUCCUCCCGCUGCUCCUGGCUUGCUCUGGCUGACCCUCCAGACCCUGCCGGCGUAG